UUAACUCAAAAUUGUAUGCAGUUGGAAUAGCGCCCCUAGUGGCAAACGUAGGCAAACGUUCCAACUCCAUACAAAUUUGAGUUA
rnacentral:pre_miRNA from 1 species